UGAGGCCCGUUUUCAGUGAAUAGAAAGAAAGAAAGUCUGAACUUCAAAACACACAACAACAACAACAUUCAAGGCUUUAAAAAGACAAAGCACAGACUGCUCAGUGGUUUUAAGUUGAGUAGAGGCUGCUCAGUGGUUUUAAGUUUAGUAGAGGCUGCUCAGUGGUUUUAAGUUGAGUAGAGGCUGCUCAGUGGUUUUAAGUUGAGUAGAGGCUGCUCAGGGGUUUUAAGUUGAGUAGAGGCUGCUCAGUGGUUUUAAGUUGAGUAGAGGCUGCUCAGUGGUUUUAAGUUGAGUAGAGGCUGCUCAGGGGUUUUAAGUUGAGUAGAGGCUGCUCAGUGGUUUUAAGUUGAGUAGAGGCUGCUCAGUGGUUUUAAGUUGAGUAGAGGCUGCUCAGGGGUUUUAAGUUGAGUAGAGGCUGCUCAGUGGUUUUAAGUUGAGUAGAGGCUGCUCAGUGGUUUUAAGUUGAGUAGAGGCUGCUCAGUGGUUUUAAGUUGAGUAGAGGCUGCUCAGUGGUUUUAAGUUGAGUAGAGGCUGCUCAGUGGUUUUAAGUUGAGUAGAGGCUGCUCAGUGGUUUUAAGUUGAGUAGAGGCUGCUCAGUGGUUUUAAGUUGAGUAGAGGCUGCUCAGUGGUUUUAAGUUGAGUAGAGGCGUAAUUGGAGUAAUUGAGAAACCUCCUUCUGUAAGUGCAUGACUAAGUGACAACAGAAAAACUAGUCAUUCAUUACGUCCGAUUGAGUGAAGCCAAUUCUGAGACCGUCAUCAGUUGAAGUGCCGAGCAAUGAGCGGUUCUGCAUCUAUAGCCUUUAAGUGCUCUGGACCAGGGAUGCAGCGUCCUUUUUGACAGAGGCGGUGUUUUAACAAUCAUUGAAACAUCCAUAACGAUCUCCAGUGCGAUUAUCAUAAAGAUUAUAUAAAACUAAAAGACAAAAAAAUAAAAAAUAAAGACAUUGGUGAAACAACCACCACAAUGAAGUCAUCAGCUUUGGUAGAAUACUAAACAACAGUUACAUUUUCCUUUCUAGUGUGGGCAGAACAUGCAGUACAAUACUCUUUUCAUCUCUGCCUGCAGUCAUGUUCAUUCAUCACUAAAAAAUGACUAUAUUCUUCUCUAAUAGCAAAAAAAAGAUCCACGUCAAACAAACUCUUCCAAUCCUUCAGGUGUCAAUCUUUUUUUCCCCCCUUAGAAAGAUAAAGGCAGGUAAGGAAAGACAAGACACGCGAUAACAAAAUAAAAAGUUAACUGUGCAUCGAGUGGAUACAGGGUGAAAGGCAGCUUCAGCUAAACAGGAAGCCAGGGGGAAGGCAGCUUCAGCUAAACAGGAAGCUGAACAAACAACAAAGUGUUUCCAGGGGUGAGUUAAAGAACACAGAAGACAGGGUUCAACUGUCAAUCAGAGCUGUUGGGGGAGAGGGGAGAAAUGUACUGCAUCCAGAAUGCCACCCUAUUCCCUAUGUAGUGCACUACUUUUGACCAGGGCCUGCGUAAUAGGGCUCUGGUGAAGAGUAGUGCACUAUAUAGUGAAUAGGGUUCCAUUUGGGAGGCAACCCUAGACUAACUCCUUUGGGGAAGGGAGAGAGAGGGGUGCAGUUGAGGGGCAUUCCUUGUUCUUUUCAGAAUUGUUUUGGGUUCUCUAACGUGUCAUUUUUUCAAAUGGGAUGGCGAGUCGUUUUCCUCUGUAGCCUACAGAAUAGCCAGGCAGUUCAGCGGCAAUAAGUAGCCUAGCCUGGCCAAGACCCAGUGCUUUGUAGGUAGCCUGGUACCAGGCCUGGUGAGGGGUUGGAGGAGUGCUAGGUAGGUAGCCUGGUUUCAGGCCUGGUGAGGGGUUGGAGGAGAGCUAGGUAGGUAGCCUGGUGAGGGGUUGGAGGAGUGCUAGGUAGGUAGCCUGGUACCAGGCCUGGUGAGGGGUUGGAGGAGUGCUAGGUAGGUAGCCUGGUACCAGGCCUGGUGAGGGGUUGAAGGAGUGCUAGGUAGGUAGCCUGGUACCAGGCCUGGUGAGGGGUUGGGGGUGUGCUAGGUAGGUAGCCUGGUACCAGGCCUGGUGAGGGGUUGGAGGAGUGCUAGGUAGGUAGCCUGGUACCAGGCCUGGUGAGGGGUUGGGGGUGUGCUAGGUAGGUAGCCUGGUACCAGGCCUGGUGAGGGGUUGGAGGAGUGCUAGGUAGGUAGCCUGGUACCAGACCUGGUGAGGGGUUGGAGGAGUGCUAGGUAGGUAGCCUGGUUCCAGGUGAGGGGUUGGAGGAGUGCUAGGUAGGUAGCCUGGUUCCAGGUGAGGGGUUGGAGGAGUGCUAGGUAGGUAGCCUGGUACCCAGGCCUGGUGAGGGGUUGGAGGAGUGCUAGGUAGGUAGCCUGGUUCCAGGUGAGGGGUUGGAGGAGUGCUAGGUAGGUAGCCUGGUUCCAGAUGAGGGGUUGGAGGAGUGCUAGGUAGGUAGCCUGGUUCCAGGUGAGGGGUUGGAGGAGUGCUAGGUAGGUAGCCUGGUACCCAGGCCUGGUGAGGGGUUGGAGGAGUGCUAGGUAGGUAGCCUGGUUCCAGGUGAGGGGUUGGAGGAGUGCUAGGUAGGUAGCCUGGUUCCAGGUGAGGGGUUGGAGGAGUGCUAGGUAGG